rnacentral:rRNA from 1 species
UGAGGAAGUAUUGCACAAUAGGAGGGAAACUACUGAUGCAGCAACGCCGCGUGGAGGAUGACGCAUUUCGGUGUGUAAACUCCUUUUAUGAGUCAAGAAAAUGACGGUAGCUCAUGAAUAAGCACCGGCUAACUCCGUGCCAGCAGCCGCGGUAAUACGGAGGGUGCAAGCGUUAUUCGGAAUCACUGGGCGUAAAGGACGCGUAGGCGGGAAGCCAAGUCUGAUGUGAAAUCCUAUGGCUUAACCAUAGAACUGCAUUGGAAACUGGUUACCUAGAGUAUGGGAGGGGGAGAUGGAAUUAGUGGUGUAGGGGUAAAAUCCGUAGAUAUCACUAGGAAUACCGAAAGCGAAGGCGAUCUCCUGGAACAAUACUGACGCUAAGGCGUGAAAGCGUGGGGAGCAAACG